rnacentral:rRNA from 1 species
UUGGAGGGCAAGUCUGGUGCCAGCAGCCGCGGUAAUUCCAGCUCCAAUAGCGUAUAUUAAAGUUGUUGCAGUUAAAAAGCUCGUAGUUGAAUUUCGGGAUCAGCAGGUUGGUCGUGCCUCUGGUAUGCACUGGUUUCGCUGAUUCCUCCUUUCUGAAGAACUGUAAUGUCAUUAAUUUGGUGUUGCAGGGAAACAGGACUGUUACUUUGAAAAAAUUAGAGUGUUUAAAGCAGGCUAACGCUUGAAUACAUUAGCAUGGAAUAAUGAAAUAGGACGUUUGAUCCUAUUUUGUUGGUUUCUAGGAUUGACGUAAUGAUUAAUAGGGAUAGUUGGGGGCAUUAGUAUUCAAUUGUCAGAGGUGAAAUUCUUGGAUUUAUUGAAGACUAACUACUGCGAAAGCAUUUGCCAAGGAUGUUUUCAUUAAUCAAGAACGAAAGCUAGGGGAUCGAAGACGAUCAGAUACCGUCGUAGUCUUAACCAUAAACUAUGCCGACUAGGGAUCGGAUGAUGUUAAUUUUUUAAUGACUCAUUCGGCGCCUUACGGGAAAC